rnacentral:lncRNA from 1 species
CUUUGUCAAGCAUCUUCAAAUUGAUUGUCUGGACAAAGAUCUACAGGCGGUGUCGUUGGAUAACUGAUCGAAGUUUAUAAUGAUGUCCUAUUUUUCAGACGAAAUGGACAAGAUUGACACAGCCGUCCAGAUUGAAGGUAUCGUCGGUGCCGAGGAAUAUCAUUCCACAGAUAAUCGUCUCAGCAAUCUCUUUGAGAAGUGAUUCAUGCCCUCUUCUUCUUUUAUUCUU